UAACCAGGGAUUCCCUACGUAGCGGAGAGCAAAGCGGGAAGAGCCCAGAAUGAAAAGCUCCCGUCAGGGCGCAUUGUAAUCUGGAGACGUGCCUCGUGCGGGGCGGCUGGACUCAAGUCUGCUGGAAAGCAGCAUCGUAGAGGGUGAAAAUCCCGUGCUUGGUCUGGCUCGGCACCGUGUUGUGGGGCGCGCUCGACGAGUCGCGUUGUUUGGGAAUGCAGCGCAAAGUAGGGUGGUAAACGCCAUCCAAGGCUAAAUAUGGGGGAGAGACCGAUAGCGAACAAGUACCGUGAGGGAAAGAUGAAAAGAACUUUGGAAAGAGAGUUAAACAGUACGUGAAAUUGCCAAAAGGGAAGCGUUGGCAGUCAGUACCGCAAGGUGUGCCCUGUCUCUUUGGGUUUUAUCGCCCAAGAUCAAGGGGUGCACGUGGGGCUCAUGUCGGUUUGCGGCGGGGGAGAAGUCUGUGGGGAAGGUGGCUCUUGCUUCGGCAGGAGUGUUAUAGCCCUGCAGCGGAUACUCUGCCUUGCGGACCGAGGCUUACCCCUCGCAAGGGGGGGAAGAACUGGGGCUUAAGGGUUUUCACCGGCCCGCUUAAA
rnacentral:rRNA from 1 species